UACGUAGGGGGCAAGCGUUGUCCGGAAUCAUUGGGCGUAAAGAGCGCGUAGGCGGCCCUGUAAGUCCGCUGUGAAAGUCAAGGGCUCAACCCUUGAAUGCCGGUGGAUACUGCAGGGCUAGAGUCCGGAAGAGGCGAGUGGAAUUCCUGGUGUAGCGGUGAAAUGCGCAGAUAUCAGGAGGAACACCGAUGGCGAAGGCAGGCUCGUG
rnacentral:rRNA from 1 species